UUAGGACGCCUGGCGGCAUGGUCUAAAACAUGCACAGUUGAACGAUCCCUUCGGGGAGAGUGGCGAAAGGGCGAGGAAUAUAACUCGAAUGUGUCCUAAGGUCGUGGAUAGCUUCUGGAAACGGGAGAUAAUACACGAUGUCCUCUACGGAGAAAAGGUUGACCGCCUUUGGAGCAGCGAUUAUCCUAUCAGGUAGUUGGUGAGGUAAAGGCUCACCAAGCCGAAGACGGGUAGCGGGUGUGAGAGCAUGACCCGCCGCAUCGGGACUGAGACACUGCCCGGACUCCUACGGGAGGCUGCAGUAACGAAUCUUCCGCAAUGGGCGAAAGCCUGACGGAGCAAUGCCGCGUGUGGGAUCAAGCAUCUACGAUGUGUAAACCACUGUCAGAAUCUAG
rnacentral:rRNA from 1 species